rnacentral:lncRNA from 1 species
CAGAAUUGGAGUAUCCCAGUGGGUAAAGUUUAAAAGAAAUGGGACAGAAAAACAAUAUACACAGGGGCGAAAAGCUGAAUUCUUCUUAUUCAUCAACAGGGAAAGGAAAAGAGGGUACUAGACCUCGUACAUUGCCAAGCUAUUUAAAACAAAAAUUAGCAUAAAAAUAGCAACUACUUCUACCACUAGCUAAAGACUAGGACUAUCAAGCCCACGUGACUUUGAUUUAUUCAGAGACUCUAAACAACUAAACAUUGCAGUAAAUAAACGUGCAUACACCAACAAAUGUCUGAAUUACUUUUUUUUAUCAACACUUUCCCCCUUAAUUCAGACCUUUUACUUGUUUCACUCCAAGCAAGUUUCGCAUCUCCUCAUGUUUUGCCUUUGCCAUUGCUUUGGUGAGUAUAUCAGCCUUUUGGUUCUUGCUGCACACAUGGCUUACAAUUACUUCACCAUUUUCUACACAUUCUCUGAUGAAGUGGAAUCUUAUGUCGAUGUGCUUACUUCGACCAUGAAAUACCGGGUUCUUCAUAAGGUCAAGGGCUGAUUGGUUAUCAACAUACAGUACUGCAGGUGGUAUGUCUUGACCUGUUAGGGUAGUGAGAAGGCGGCGCAGCCAAAUACCUUGACAGACUGCCAUAGUGGCUGCCAUGAAUUCUGCCUCACAAGAAGAUAGGGCCACAACUCGUUGUUUCUGCGAUGCCUAAGUGACCAGAUUGCCAUUCCAAUAAAAAACCAUCCCUCCAGUGCUUCUUCUGUCAAUCUCAUCAUUUCCCAUAUCACUCUCAGAAUAUCCUGUGAUAGUGAUCUUACUUUCUCCUUUAGUGUAGACUAUGCCAUAAUCUAAAGUGCCCUUCACAUACCUUAGUAUCCCCUUCACUGCUUGGAGGUGUUUCAUGGUUGGUUUCUCCAUGAAUCGACUGACUACACCAACUGCAAAACUUAUAUAUGGGCGAGUGUGUGUUCGGUACCUGAGGCCUCCCACUAUGCUCCUAUAUUCAGUGGGGUUUAUGAGUUCCCCAUCUUCAUUCUUCUUCAACUUCAACUUGUGUUCCAUUGGACUUUUAGUGGGGUUGCAUUCCAACAUACGGGUCUUGGCUAGGAUAGUCUUGGCAUAUCCUUCUUGUUUUAACGUGAUACCAGCUUCAGUUUGACUUACUUCAAUUCCCAGAUAGUAAGUUAGUAACCCAAGGUCACUCAUCUCAAACUUGGCAUUCAUCUCCAAUUUGAAGUCUUUCACAUUCUCUUGACAGCUUCCUGUAACCAAUAGGUCAUCAACAUAGACCCCAACGAUCAAAGUAUUUCCUUCCUUCUUUCUAGUGUACACUGAGUACUCUUGAAGACAUCUUGAGAAUCCCAAACUUUUCAAGUACUUGUCCAAACAUGCGUUCCACGCCCUAGGUGCUUGUUUCAGCCCGUAAAGGGCUUUUGACAACUUGUACACCUUGUUACUUUCCCCAGCUUUUUCAAAACCUUCAGGCUGUGUUACAUACACUUCUUGCUCCAAUUUUCCAUUCAGAAAGGCUGAUUUCACGUCAAGACGGUGUACACACCAGCCAUUAGAGCCUGGAAGGGCUAGAAUAACACGUAUCGUUUCAAUUCUUGCCACUGGUGCAAAGACUUCGUCAUAGUCAAUCCCUUGUUUCUGGACAUACCCUUUUGCCACGAUUCUAGCUUUAUACUUCAGAAUCUUCCCGCUUGCAUCUCGUUUCACCUUGAAUAUCCACUUUAGACCAAUUGGCUUUCGUCCCUUUGGAAGUUCAACCAGACUCCAAGUUUUGUUCCUUUCAAUUGAGGUCACUUCUGCAUUCAUCGCUUCUACCCACUCUCUCCUUUUGCUCGCUUCAUCGUAUGAGACUGGCUCUUCAUCAUCGUGAAUGAGCAUCAACCGAUCCGUGUUUUCGUACAAAUCUGUGAGUAGUCGAUAUCUCUUUGGGGCUCCACUACCUGUGGAGCUUGAGGCGGUGCUUGGAGUGUCGACUUGCGAGGCUGAUUGCGGGACUUGUUGAAUCGGCGUAUAAGGUGAGUUGUGUGUAGUCAAAGGACUUGACGGACUGGUUUGUGGGCUUAUGUGCGAGUCCAAUUGUGAGUUAGUGGGCUGAGACUCACUUUCAGUCCAGUCCACAUCAACUUGGGGUACUCUUUGACCAACUGGAGUAUGAGGGAUAGGUCCGACCUCAACAUCAUCGGCUUUGCCAAAAUCGAAUCCCUCAAUAGUGAAGCUGAUCCCUGGAAUCCGUUUGAUUCUUAUCGUCUCUUCCCACGCCCAAAUCUUGUUUUCUUCGAAAACAACGUUUCUGCUCACAUACAUCGCACCUGUGUCGGGAUCCAACAACCGAUAUGCCUUCGUCCCUUUCUCAACUCCAAGAUGUACAACCUUUUUACUUCUAUCAUCUAAUUUCUUCAAAUGACUCUUUUCAAUUAGCAUAUGUGCGACACACCUAAAUACCCUGAGAUGUUCUACAUGUGGUUUCCUUCCAGUCCACAUCUCAUAUGGUGUUGUAUCUUUCAAGGCCUUGGUGUUGACCCUAUUCAGCAAGUACACGUAAUGAUUCACAGCUUCACCCCAUAAAACAUCUGGGACAUUCAUCGACUUCAAACAACUCCUUACCAUCUCCACAACCGUACGGUUCCGCCUCUCCACAACUCCAUUCUGUUGUGGGGAGUAUGGAGAGGUAUAAUGGCGUGUCAAACCUGUUUCACUGCAAUAUGAGGUGAACUAUCUCGAAAGAAAUUCACCUCCUCGAUCCGUUCUCAGGACUUUCACCUUCUCACCUGUUUCUGUUUCUACUUUUGACCUAAAGUUCUUGAAGACUUGGAAAGCCUCUUCUUUCGUUUUCAUGAGAUACACCCACAUUACUCUACUAUAAUCAUCGACAAGCAGCAUGAAGUACUUGUUUCCAGCGGGUGUAGGAGGUGAAACCGGUCCACACAAGUCACCAUGUACAAGCUCCAAUCUUUUCUUUGCUCUGUAGUUUGUGUGUGAAGGGUAUGGGUUUCUUGAUUGCUUACGACCAAACAACCUUCACAUGGCUGUGUUGGGAUGACUAUCUUUGGCAUUCCUUCAACCAAGUUCCUGUCUAACAUGAGUUUUAGUGAAGAGAAAUUGACAUAGCCCAUCCUUGCAUGCCAAAGCCAAGUUGGUUCACCAGUUUCAGCAAUCAAACACUUUGGCCUUACUUCUUCCAACUCAAUCUUGUAUAGACGAUUUUGAGACCUCUGGACCUUCAUCAACAGUCUUUGUAAUAGCCGAAAUUCAGGUACAACCGAUUAGCCCUUCAUCUUUAUUUAGUUUUCAUUUUGGGCCUUUGUGUUGGGCGAGUACGCUAGGCGUACAAGGAGUACGUUGCGCGUACUUGCGCGCCUCAUUUAAACACGUCAUCGUCGGGUACGCUGGGCGUACCCAAGGUUACGCCGGGCGUAAUCGGUCCAGACCCAAAACCCUAAUUUGAGUUGUUGGCUAUAAAAGGAAUGAGAUGGCUUGGUUCCUCAGCCACCAUCCUUCAAAAAGAAACCCUAAGAGAGUUGUUCCUUCGUUCAUAGCUUGUUUGUGAGUGUUCUAAGCUUUGAGGUGUCAUUUCAAGGUAGCAAAAGGAAAGAGGAGUCCAUUGUGGAGGCUAGAAGUUGGUGUGCAAGUGUAGAUCCGUGAAAAGCAAAGGUUGGAGCUUCUUCCUAAGGUAAAAAGUUCAGAUCUUGCCUUGUAGUUCUUAUGGUAUGCUUCAUGGACCAAUUUCUAGGGUUUUGGUCCCAAAGAUGGAGACUUUAUGAGCAAGUAGUCUCCAUUGGCUUAGAUCUACCAUAUUCCAGGUCCAUUUGAGUUAUGUGUUCAUAAAAAUGUGAUCUUGGACGUAUAUAUUUAGCUAUGCAUGAGAUCUAGAUCUUUGGAGUUGAAAAGGAAGGUAUUAGAGAGUGUAGGAGCCUUUACAGCCAUGCCAAGGCUUAAAGGUUCCGACUUUAUGGAUUAGGAGGCUUAAUGAGAGCCAGAUCUAGAAGUUGAAGGAGUGUCUUAACCAUUUAAGACAAGAAAUAUGGUAUGGCUGAAUCUGGGAUUUACGUUGGGCGUAACUCCCAGUACGCGCAGCGUAAGGGGUUGCGACCCCCGAUUGUGACUCAUCGAUGUACGCCCCGCGUACAGAAGCUGGUACGCCCCGCGUACUGUGGUCAGUUGACUUUCGUUGACUUUUAGGGUUUGGUCAACAUGAGUCAAGGAAGGGUAAAAUGGUCUUUUACCCCUCUGUGGGAUAAUGAUAAGGGUGUAGCCUAGUCUUGAAAGUCUAUAUUAAUUAGAAUGAUAUUUCGUUAUGAUUAGGAGGGGUUGGGUCUUCGUUUCGAGAUUCGGAGAUAGCGAGCACGUGAGAUUCUAGACUUCCUGCGAGGUGAGUCUUCUCACUAUACUGUACCCGGAAGGGUAUUUAUGUGUGACCGAGAGGUCGGAUAUGUUAUGAGUUGUAUGCAUCGAAUAUGAUAAGUUAACCGUUUGUAUGUGCUAUGUAUGCUAUGCUUGAUAUGGGCCGGAAGGCAUUAUGUUAUGGGUCGGAAGGCAUUUUAUGUUAUGGGCCGGAAGGCAUUGUGAUGUGGACCGGAAGGUCGACGCGGGUAGGACCGGAAGGGUUACCGGGUCGGGACGAAAGUCCCCUGAGACACAUGGACCGGAAGGUCAUGGCCUGGAAAGGCGUAUGUGCGUAAGUAGUAUUUUGGGGAACUCACUAAGCAUUUAUGCUUACAGUUGUUGUGUUAUGUGUUUCAGGUACUAGCGAGGACCGUGGGAAGGCGCCGGCGUGAUCUGUACACACUGAUGGAGGAUUUAUGAUCUUGGGAUUUAUAUGAUUUGUAUUAUGAUAUGAUACAUUGGAUCUUUAUGACUUGUUUUGGAUGAAAACAUGUUUUUAAGAAAUGAAAAUUUUGUUUUGAAAAUUUACGUUGUUACAGCCUUCCUGUAGCAUCAUGUACCCAUAAAAAUGGGUCUUUUAUUCUGAUCUCGUCUCCACCUUCUGCUAGUUGUCCUAGACUUAUUAUGUUGCUGCAUAAGUCUGGGAUAUAAUAAACCUCUUCAAGUUUGCGGUAUUAUCCAUUUUUACGUUGAAAGACAAUCUUUCCCUUGCCUUCAAUCCUUACUCUAGACUCAUUCCCAAACUUCACAUAGCCUUGAAUAUUUUUAUCCAGCUCUCUAAACUAGCACUUGUCCCCAGUCAUGUGGUUGCUGGCCCCUGUAUCCAGAUACCACAUCCUUGAUUGUUUCAUUGUAUCACCUUUUGUCUUCACCAGUUGCUACAGCUUCAUCAAAAGAUGCCAAUAAUAGUGCUGGUUCGUUGUCGAACUGUUCUUGAAUCAAGUUAUUCACUUGAUUUCUUUCACGCCUUGGAUUCUUGCAUUCAGCAGCAUAGUGACCAAACUCCUGGCAAUUGUAGAACUGGACUCCACUUUUGUCUUGGCUGCUGGAUUGACCCCGUUUUUCUUCUUUCUGGUGGUGUGAUCCGUUUCUGCCUCGACCACCAUAAUUUCCGCCCUUGCUACGACCUCUACCCUGUCCUCGUGAGCCUCCAAAACCACCACGGUUUCCUUUGUGAGUGUGCUUAGAGUCAUCUUCAGCCUUCUUCUUAUUUCUUUCAGACCAUUCCUAGUGGGUCAAUAGAAGUUUCUUCUCAUCAAUUUCACCAUGCCCUUUCAUGCGUUCUUCAUGGGCCUUUAAUCUUCCCACUACUUCUUCAACUGUCAUCACAGUCAAAUCUCCAAAUUGUUCCAAUGUAGAAGCAAUCUGGAGGAACUUAGAUGGAANUUAGUAGCUUCUUCACUACAUUUUCUUCUUCCAUGGUGUCACCCAAAGCACGCAUGGUGCUUACUAUAUUGUUCACCUUCACAGUGAAAUCAUCUACACUUUCUGACUCCUUCAUAUUCAAGGCUUCAAAUUCUGCUUUUAAAGUCUGAAUUCUUGCUGUCUUCACUCUAUCUGCUCCUAAGAACAUGGUCUUCAAAGCUUCCCAUGCUUCUUUGGUUGUUUUCUUCUCAGCCAAUGAAAGCAAUAGGUCUUCAGGUAUGCCUUGAUAUAUUGCUACUAGGGCAUCUUAUCCUUCUUGACUUCUACAAUGGUGUUGGAUGUUCUAGGUUCCAUUGCAUCCCACACUCCCUGUGCUUGCAUGAAGACCCUCAUUUUUAUGGCCCAUGCAGAGUAAUUACUUCUUGACAGCAUCGGGUAAUGAAGAGUGACCAUACCAUCUUUCUCACCAUUUCCAUUGUUCCCUGUCAUCUCUUUACGUGGUUGGUACUUUGGCAUACACCAGGUUUAUGCUCCGAUACCAAAUGUUGGCCUUUUCACAGGGGUAUUAGUGUCUUUACAGAAAAGGAAAGCAACAGGGGACAGAAUUGGAGUAUCCCAAUGGGUAAAGUUUAAAAGAAAUGGGACAGAAAAACAAUAUACACAAGGGCAAAAAGCUGAAUUCUUCUUAUUCAUCAACAGGGAAAGGAAAAGAGGGUACUAGACCUCGUACAUUGCCAAGCUAUUUAAAACAAAAAUUAGCAUAAAAAUAGCAACUACUUCUACCACUAGCUAAAGACUAGGACUAUCAAGCCCACGUGACUUUGAUUUAUUCAGAGACUCUAAACAACUAAACAUUGCAGUAAAUAAACGUGCAUACACCAACAAAUGUCUGAAUUACUUUUUUUUAUUAAC